UCCUACGGGAGGCAGCAGUGGGGAAUCUUCCGCAAUGGGCGAAAGCCUGACGGAGCAACGCCGCGUGAGUGAAGAAGGUCUUCGGAUCGUAAAGCUCUGUCGAAGGGGACGAACGUGGGUUCUAUCAACGACGGAACCUAAUGACGGUACCUUUCAAGAAAGCCACGGCUAACUACGUGCCAGCAGCCGCGGUAAUACGUAGGUGGCGAGCGUUGUCCGGAAUCAUUGGGCGUAAAGGGAGCGCAGGCGGGAAAUCAAGUCCAUCUUAAAAGUUCGGGGCUCAACCCCGUGAUGGGAUGGAAACUGGUUUUCUUGAGUGCAGGAGAGGAAAGCGGAAUUCCUAGUGUAGCGGUGAAAUGCGUAGAUAUUAGGAGGAACACCAGUGGCGAAGGCGGCUUUCUGGACUGUAACUGACGCUGAGGCUCGAAAGCGUGGGGAGCGAACAGGAUUAGAUACCCUGGUAGUCC
rnacentral:rRNA from 1 species